rnacentral:rRNA from 1 species
GAACGCUAGCGGCAGGCUUAACACAUGCAAGUCGAGGGGUAUAUUUCUUCGGAGAUAGAGACCGGCGCACGGGUGCGUAACGCGUAUGCAAUCUACCUUUUACAGGGGAAUAGCCCAGAGAAAUUUGGAUUAAUGCCCCAUAGUAUAUAUGAAUCGCAUGGUUUAUAUAUUAAAGUCACAACGGUAAAAGAUGAGCAUGCGUCCCAUUAGUUAGUUGGUAAGGUAACGGCUUACCAAGACUAUGAUGGGUAGGGGUCCUGAGAGGGAGAUCCCCCACACUGGUACUGAGACGCGGACCAGACUCCUACGGGAGGCAGCAGUGAGGAAUAUUGGACAAUGGGCGCAAGCCUGAUCCAGCCAUGCCGCGUGCAGGAAGACGGU